UACGGAGGAUGCGAGCGUUAUCCGGAUUUAUUGGGUUUAAAGGGUGCGUAGGCGGGAUGCCAAGUCAGCGGUCAAAUACGGGGGCUCAACCUGCGUCCGCCGUUGAAACUGGCGUUCUUGAGUGGGCGAGAAGUACGCGGAAUGCGUGGUGUAGCGGUGAAAUGCAUAGAUAUCACGCAGAACCUCGAUUGCGAAGGCAGCGUACCGGCGCCCGACUGACGCUGAAGCACGAAAGCGUGGGUAUCGAACAGG
rnacentral:rRNA from 1 species